GUUGGGUAUGGAGACAUCUAUCCCAAGACUCUCCUGGGGAAAAUUGUGGGGGGUCUCUGCUGCAUCGCAGGGGUCCUGGUGAUUGCUCUUCCCAUCCCCAUCAUUGUCAAUAAC
rfam:Sus scrofa chromosome 17.